GGGCAUUUGGCACAGUGGUAGCGCGCACGCUUCGCAUCUUGCUUUCGAGCACGGGCGCCUGCGUGAAGUCCAGAGUUCAAUCCUCUGAAUGUCCA